GUGGGUGUAGCUCAGUGGUAGAGCACAUGCUUAGCAUGCAGGAAGUCCUGGGUUCAAUCCCCAGUACCUCCA
rnacentral:tRNA from 1 species